GUUGGACAGGAGAGGACAAGGUGGGGGAGAAUCUGUGCUCUGCAAAACAGACGAACGGAAGUAGGAAGCUGGGCUGGUGGCUGGGCACUUGGGUCCUUUGGAGAGCUGGCACUGGGUAUCCGCGCCUGGGGCGCCACAGCCUCUUUAUACUGAUAAGCAUCUUACAGCUCUCUCCCGGCACUGAUGCCUUUCUCUCCUGCAGGUCUCUGUCUGAGAAAGGGACUUGAGUAAAGUUAGAAACUGGCAACAGUAACUUCCUGUAUCUGUGAGGACAGGAGGAGAAAGGCUAGGGAAACUG
rnacentral:lncRNA from 1 species